UUAAAAAGCUCGUAGUUGGAUUUCUGGUGGGAGUGUUUGGCCGGCUCAAUGAGUUUGCGCCUAUACGCUUUCGCCAUCCUUGGGGAAAACUUGCCUGGCAUUAGGUUGUCGGGUUUGGGAUCCUCAUCGUUUACUGUGAAAAAAUUAGAGUGUUCAAAGCAGGCUUAUGCCGUUGAAUACAUUAGCAUGGAAUAAUAAGAUAAGGACCUUGGUACUAUUUUGUUGGUUUGCGUACCUAGGUAAUGAUUAAUAGGGACAGUUGGGGGUAUUCGUAUUCAAUUGUCAGAGGUGAAAU
rnacentral:rRNA from 1 species